rnacentral:rRNA from 1 species
AUUAGAUACCCCGGUAGUCCCAGCUGUAAACGAUGCGCGUUAGGUGUAUCGGUGACCACGAGUCACCGAGGUGCCGAAGGGAAACCGUGAAACGUGCCGCCUGGGAAGUACGGUCGCAAGGCUGAAACUUAAAGGAAUUGGCGGGGGAGCACCACAACAGGUGGAGCCUGCGGUUUAAUCGGACUCAACGCCGGGAAGCUCACCGGGUAAGACAGCUGAAUGAUAGCCGGGUUGAAGACUCUGCUUGACUAGCUGAGAGGUGGUGCAUGGC